CCUACGGGAGGCAGCAGCGAGGAAUAUUGGACAAUGGGCGCAAGCCUGAUCCAGCCAUGCCGCGUGCAGGAUGACGGUCCUAUGGAUUGUAAACUGCUUUUAUACAGGAAGAAACCACUCUACGUGUAGAGUCUUGACGGUACUGUAAGAAUAAGGAUCGGCUAACUCCGUGCCAGCAGCCGCGGUAAUACGGAGGAUCCAAGCGUUAUCCGGAAUCAUUGGGUUUAAAGGGUCCGUAGGCGGUUUAGUAAGUCAGUGGUGAAAGCCCAUCGCUCAACGGUGGAACGGCCAUUGAUACUGCUAGACUUGAAUUAUUAGGAAGUAACUAGAAUAUGUAGUGUAGCGGUGAAAUGCUUAGAGAUUACAUGGAAUACCAAUUGCGAAGGCAGGUUACUACUAAUUGAUUGACGCUGAUGGACGAAAGCGUGGGUAGCGAACAGGAUUAGAUACCCUGGUAGUCCACGCCGUAAACGAUGGAUACUAGCUGUUGGGGGCAACUUCAGUGGCUAAGCGAAAGUGAUAAGUAUCCCACCUGGGGAGUACGAACGCAAGUUUGAAACUCAAANAGAGUAGACGNGNGAGAGNGACGAGACGACGACGAGGGAGGAGG
rnacentral:rRNA from 1 species